AGUGGUUAGAGAUACUGCCAACCCCCGAUGACCCCGCCUUACCCUCCUCCUCCUGUUAACAAAAGCCUGCGCCGAUAGGCCAAGAGGAGAGAGAGUUCGAAGGGGCGGAGCUGGGUGCAACCCAGAGGUCUGAGCCUACGCGUGGCGGUCUCCCGGUGUCGGCGUGCUGGUCACUUGCGGGCAGGAGCAGAGGCGACCGACCGUCUUACGCCCCGCCACUGAAACGCUAGUCAUACCCAUUUAUGUAUUCCUUUGGGCUUCGGCUCCAAAACGAGAACGGCAAUACAUCUAAACGUCCCAUGUAUUAUUGCAAAUGCUUCACACAUGAGAACCUGUGUUCUACGCUCAGCUCCACAAAAUGAAAAUUGCAACCUAGUACCAGCCUUGUUCUAAGCACCAUGCCUGGCUCCUGGCUGUAUAGAAAGUCACCAUGGGAGAGAUAUCCUUGGAGGGACAAUGUAAAUAAAACAUUCGAGAAACUGCA